UGAGAACUUGGUGCACAGUUACCCGG
rnacentral:piRNA from 1 species